CCCGAGCCGCUCCUUUCUUCUCCCCGACGCCGCCUGAACCUCUUUGCCCUAACCGCCGACCACGAACAAUAUCCUUCCUCUCUUCUACUUCUUCUUCUUCUCCUCUGCCCGAGCCGAUCUCCUCUUCCCACUGCUGCCAGCGACAGCAAACGCCUAUGUACAACGUCGCUCGUCCGUGUGUGCCGACGCCGAAGCCCUCUCCCUCUUAACCUCUGCCGCCGGCGACGCGAGGCCUCUUUUCCUCUCUUCUCCCAAGCGUCGACAGCCGUACCCUAGAUCCACCGCCGGCCACAGGAACCCCGGAGCUGAUCGCUCCUCUUCUCGCCGGCACCUGAGUACCACUGCCGGUGUUUCCCCUGUGCCCUAGCUUUGGGUUCACAGCCACUGCCCUUUCCUCGCACCCUCUGCCUUGUGCGCUGUUGCCCUUGUUGGAGUUGUGCUCUAGAUCGCCGGAGGCCGUGAGCUGGAGUAAGUGACAGCGAGCAGUAGUAAUCCGGCGAUAUGAUUGAAGGUUUCCAGCAGCAACUAUUCCUUCCGGCAGCACUAUCCCUAGUUGUGGAUUAACAUCUGUACUGUGAGAAUUAAGGACUUUGAUUUGAGACGGUGUCUCAACGAGGAUUUAUUCGGAUACGAACUUCUCA